rfam:Nematostella vectensis strain CH2 x CH6 NEMVEscaffold_326_Cont23918, whole genome shotgun sequence.
GGGGGAUUAGCUCAAAUGGUAGAGCGCCCGCUUAGCAUGCGGGAGGUACCGGGAUCGAUACGCUGAUUCUCCA